rnacentral:rRNA from 1 species
ACGGGGUGCAGCAGGCGCGAAACCUUCACAAUGUGCGAAAGCGCGAUGAGGGGAUCCCAAGUGCUUGCUCGUAAGAGUAAGCUGUUUUUAUGUCUAAAACGCAUAGAGAGUAAGGGCUGGGUAAGACGGGUGCCAGCCGCCGCGGUAAUACCUGCAGCUCAAGUGGUGACCGCUAUUAUUGGGCCUAAAACAUUCGUAGCCGGUUUGGUAAAUGCCUGGGUAAAUCGUGUAGCUUAACUAUACGAAUUCCGGGUAGACUGCCAAACUUGAGACCGGGAGAAGCUAGAGGUACUCCUUGGGUAGAGGUGAAAUUCUGUAAUCCUAGGGGGACCACCAGUGGCGAAGGCGUCUAGCUAGAACGGGUUUGACGGUGAGGAAUGAAGCCCUGGGGCGCAAACCGGAUUAGAUACCCGGGUAGUCCAGGGUGUAAACGCUGCUUGCUUGAUGUUAGUUGGGCUCCGAGCCCAAUUAGUGUCGGAGAGAAGUUGUUAAGCAAGCUGCCUGGGAAGUACGAUCGCAAGAUUGAAACUUAAAGGAAUUGGCGGGGGAGCACAGCAACGGGUGGAGCGUGCGGUUUAAUUGGAUUCAACGCCGGAAAACUCACCGGAGGCGACGGUUACAUGAAG